UACGUAGGGUCCGAGCGUUGUCCGGAAUUAUUGGGCGUAAAGGGCUCGUAGGCGGUUUGUCGCGUCGGGAGUGAAAACACGGGGCUUAACCCCGUGCCUGCUUCCGAUACGGGCAGACUAGAGGUAUGCAGGGGAGAACGGAAUUCCUGGUGUAGCGGUGAAAUGCGCAGAUAUCAGGAGGAACACCGGUGGCGAAGGCGGUUCUCUGGGCAUUACCUGACGCUGAGGAGCGAAAGUGUGGGGAGCAAACAGG
rnacentral:rRNA from 1 species